CUUCUCCCUGCAAAAACGAAAAUGUAACCCCUGAAAAUGGGAAACCCACUAUAGAGCUGGGCCAUUCUCCAAUCCAGGCCUGGAAGCUUAGCCCAUGGGGACAUUAUGGGGGUCCCCAGAACCUCUCAUCUAUAUCUGGGGCUUCUCCUCUGCAGGCUAGGCAGGGAUGGGGUGAGCUGUAAAUAGGCUCAGCCACACAGUAUUUGGGGAUCACUUGGGAACACAGGGAUACAACAGCCUCCAGGAAAUACUCCAUAUAGCUCCUCUGCACUGACCCAAGAACUUUAUAGAAAGUGGCUGUGGCUAGCUGAGCAUCUUGACUCCAUCUGUUUGGGAGAUGGCAGUUCCUCCCCUAUUGUCCAGAAAGGUGUCCCAGCAGCUGUAUCCUCCAUAGAUACCUACUAGGGUGGCUGAAUCUUUCAACUGAGACUUUAAGAUAUUUUAAGUAGGAGCCUUAAAGCCUGGAUGCUCAGCUACUAAGAUAUUUUAAGUAGGAGCCUUAAAAGCCUGGAUGCUCAGCUACAGCAAUGGGGGUUCAGAGGGUAAGAGCCUUGGCAACCUAGGUCCAACAUGAGGGAUCAGGAAGGAUGUGAGGGAACCUGAGGCCAUUAUGGCUGAAUUAGGUACUGGGUACAAUUCUUGGGGAUACUGAGAAGAACCCAGGACACUCUUGGUGAAGCUUCCUAUAGCCCUCUAUGGCAUCCCAAGGGGCAUAACAUGAGUGACUGGAGGCUGUCUUUUCUGGAGAAGACCCUAUGAGAAGGUUUCCACUUCAGAUGAUGGGAGGGGGUGAGGUAGAGCUGCAAGAUUUCAGUUGUCUCCCCAAAUUGUUUGGGCUAUAACUGGAUGAUAAGACACCAUCUCUGAGGCUAAGCUGUCCCCCAGCCCCAUCCAAGACUGGCUCUAUUCUCAGCCCUAACAAGACCCCCCAGGUCCCCAGAGUAACCUCUAGAAUACAGGAGCACACGCACCUCCGGGCCCACAUUUCUAGCCAAGAACCACCCUGUUAUCUGUAUCCCAAGAUCUACCCCCACAACAAGGUCUUUCCAGCUCCAAUGGGGAAUACCGUUUCACCCUAGCUCUCAGAGGAGGGGCUUGCAUUUGUGGUUACAAGGCCAGGAGUCUCAGGGCAUCUUCCCCAUUCCUCUCCCAACUCACAUCGAUGCCAUCCUUGCCGGGCUUCCCAGGAGGUCCUUGGGGACCAGGGGGGCCUCGAGGUCCCACUUUCUGAAAUUAAGAUAAGUUAUUAGUCUGGGCAGUAGUGGCGCACGCCUUUGAUCCCAGCACUCAGGAGGCAGAGCCAGGCGGAUCUGUGAGUUUGAGGCCAGCCUGGUCUACAGAGCGAGAUCCAGGACAGGCUCCAAAGGUACACAGAGAAACCCUGUCUCGAAAAACCAAAAAGGUAAGUUAUUGGGUAGUCCUCCUUUCCACCCUGUCAGGCCCCCUGUUCCAUCUUCCCCAGCCCAAGUAAUUCUAGGGCCUGUGAUAGUGGCCCAUGACCCCCCUUCCUGCCCGCUAGAAAACCCCAAAGUCUCCUGUGCUGGAGCCUGGCUUGGAGGCACGGUUUAUCCCUGCUUGCGCCAGGAGUGGCUGUGCCGCGGCCCCGCAGGGAGUCUCCAGGAACAAAGGCAACAUUGUGCGUGGUGGCAGAGCCGGCAGCAGCCUGACCCGGUUGGGCGAAGACAAGUGGGAGCCCAGGAUCAUGGUCGACUUGUCCUGGUGUCCACGGGGUUCAGCUGCAUCACUAGAACUUGCUCGCCGGAGGAAGGCGGCGAGGAGGCUGCCAUAGAAGUCCUCAAAGGUCCACGGCGGUGGAACUCAGAGUUUGGCCCAGGAGGCUCGAGUUGUAGCAGGUUGUGAGAUCGUGGCCAGGAAGAACCCCUGCAGUAAAGGGCACCUUUUAAAAGCUGCGAAGGACAUACCCAAGAUGCCCAAAUACCAAGAGGAUCACGCUCUGUAACAGGUGCUGUGAAUGUCCACGGGGGCGAAGCAGGGGGAGCUCAGGAAGCCGUGCCCUCAGGUAGUCUGAGACGGACCAAAGCACCUCUUCAGAAAAAGGUACUGUGGCAGCAGUAGCUGCAGCUGGGGGCUCUGAACAGCCCAUACCACACGGAACUGUGAAGUACCUCCCACCUGACCAGGUUCCAGCCCUUUCUGCCACCUCAGCACCUAACAGGCAGCAUAUAAAGCAGCGACUGGACGCCAAUCGGAGGCACAGCUGGCCUUUAGCUUGGGUCUGGGGAACAGUUUUGGCACCUGAAGCAGACUUUUGUCUUCAACUCCCUCACAUCCCCAGUAUCUGUAGACCUCUGAGGUGAGGCCAGCCUCACAUCCUAGGCCUGUUAGGUCCAGGCCUCCCAGUACUUGCCUUUGAGCUGUGCAGAACUAAAGACUUACCUGUUUUGGUAUGCCAUUCUUCCUGAAAGUCUGGCAGGGGGUCAAGUGAGUCAGAGUGGCCAGCCAUCCCUAGAGUCUCUCCUCACUUUCAAGAGUCAAUAUUCCCCAUCCAACCUGAGUCCCAGCCAUCUAGCUGAAGAUGCCUGCACACCCCAAGAGGGACCCCAACUGUAGUUGCCUUCUAUCCACCUCUGAGCAUCCAUUUUCAUUUCAAAGCCUUACCAAUAAGCCAAACCACAGCUAAGGUUCCCAGGGUCCACAGCCUCAAGAUAACCCUGGGAGGGCGCUGUCCACAGCAUAGUACUAUGACCUUGUCAAGGGAUGGCACUGACCCCUAGGUUCAACUCGGGGAGAACUGUGAUCUCCCUCAGAACACCCAGGAUGGUGCUUGAUUGCCACCUCAUCUGUACCAAGAUGUGUGUGAAUCCCUCCUCUCCACGGUCCAUAAAACUCCUUACCCGACGGAUAGGCACUGGGGAAUUAGAAGAGGGAAAAGUCUCAGCAGAGGGAAGCUACAGUGAGAUGCCAGUCUGAUAGGCCACAUAGGGAGGGCACUGGAAGACAGCACCGGGGCAGGCCUAUCAGCAGAGAGGCAAGACAGGAUGGGUCUAGACAUGUAAACGCAGAACUGUCCCCAGCCCAUCCAAAGGGCCUGUGUACCAGCUUCUGAGUUCCUGAACAGGUGACAGGUAGCAGCUAAGGUGGUGAUGACCCUUGUAUUCAGGAAGGCUGUAUAUAUUACAAUAGUCUGCAUAGGGUGCCAGUGCCCAGAGAGCUGUGCAACCAGUGUCUGCCAGGCUCUAU